GCAACAAAAUAUAACAAAUGCAACAAAAUCUCUAUCUGGUUCAAUUGUAUCAUAAGCAAUAUAACCAAUCACAUCUUCUUUAGUGAAAAACCAACCAUAACUAUUUAGAAGAAAGAAUUUCGUUAUAGUUGAAAACAUAAUGGAAAGCAAAUCUUAACAUAUGAUGGAUAAAAUCCCCCCACCUCAUCAAAUAAAAUAUAAAUCACAAAUAAAACAUUGAAAGAUUGGAAGAAGCUAAAAUAAUUUGACCACAAAACAUAUAAUAUAGAUCGAAAACAUCUUUAAU
rnacentral:lncRNA from 1 species